GACGAACGCUGGCGGCGCGCUUAACACAUGCAAGUCGAGAGAAGCGGCGGACGGGUGAGUAACACGUGAGUAACCUGCCUUAGACAUUGGGAUAGCCUCGGGAAACAGGGAUUAAUACCAAAUGGUCUAAGAUGGACUCGCGUCCCAUUAGCUAGUUGGUGGGUAACGGCCCACCAAGGCGACGGUUGGGAGCCGGACGGGUAGGGUGAACGGCCACAUUGGAACUGAGACACGAUCCAAACUCUACGGGAGGCAGCAGUGGGGAAUAUUGCACAAGGGAGGGAGCUCUGAUGCAGCGACGCCGCGUGAACGAAGAAGGCUUUCGAGUCGUAAAGUUCUUUUAUAUGGGAAGCGGUACCAUAAGAAAAAGCCCCGGCUAACUACGUGCCAGCAGCCGCGGUAAUAC
rnacentral:rRNA from 1 species